rnacentral:rRNA from 1 species
CAGGCUUAACACAUGCAAGUCGAGGGGCAGCAUUUUAGUUUGCUUGCAAACUGAAGAUGGCGACCGGCGCACGGGUGAGUAACACGUAUCCAACCUGCCGAUAACUCCGGAAUAGCCUUUCGAAAGAAAGAUUAAUACCGGAUAGCAUACGAAUAUCGCAUGAUAUUUUUAUUAAAGAAUUUCGGUUAUCGAUGGGGAUGCGUUCCAUUAGUUUGUUGGCGGGGUAACGGCCCACCAAGACUACGAUGGAUAGGGGUUCUGAGAGGAAGGUCCCCCACAUUGGAACUGAGACACGGUCCAAACUCCUACGGGAGGCAGCAGUGAGGAAUAUUGGUCAAUGGGCGAGAGCCUGAACCAGCCAAGUAGCGUGAAGGAUGAAGGCUCUAUGGGUCGUAAACUUCUUUUAUAUGGGAAUAAGGUUUUCCACGUGUGGAAUUUUGUAUGUACCAUAUGAAUAAGGAUCGGCUAACUCCGUGCCAGCAGCCGCGGUAAUACGGAGGAUCCGAGCGUUAUCCGGAUUUAUUGGGUUUAAAGGGAGCGUAGGUGGAUUGUUAAGUCAGUUGUGAAAGUUUGCGGCUCAACCGUAAAAUUGCAGUUGAAACUGGCAGUCUUGAGUACAGUAGAGGUGGGCGGAAUUCGUGGUGUAGCGGUGAAAUGCUUAGAUAUCACGAAGAACUCCGAUUGCGAAGGCAGCUCACUAGACUGUCACUGACACUGAUGCUCGAAAGUGUGGGUAUCAAACAGGAUUAGAUACCCUGGUAGUCCACACAGUAAACGAUGAAUACUCGCUGUUUGCGAUAUACAGUAAGCGGCCAAGCGAAAGCAUUAAGUAUUCCACCUGGGGAGUACGCCGGCAAAGGUGAAACUCAAAGGAAUUGACGGGGGCCCGCACAAGCGGAGGAACAUGUGGUUUAAUUCGAUGAUACGCGAGGAACCUUACCCGGGCUUAAAUUGCAACAGAAUAUAUUGGAAACAGUAUAGCCGUAAGGCUGUUGUGAAGGUGCUGCAUGGUUGUCGUCAGCUCGUGCCGUGAGGUGUCGGCUUAAGUGCCAUAACGAGCGCAACCCUUAUCUUUAGUUACUAACAGGUCAUGCUGAGGACUCUAGAGAGACUGCCGUCGUAAGAUGUGAGGAAGGUGGGGAUGACGUCAAAUCAGCACGGCCCUUACGUCCGGGGCUACACACGUGUUACAAUGGGGGGUACAGAAGGCGGCUACCUGGUGACAGGAUGCUAAUCCCAAAAACCUCUCUCAGUUCGGAUCGAAGUCUGCAACCCGACUUCGUGAAGCUGGAUUCGCUAGUAAUCGCGCAUCAGCCAUGGCGCGGUGAAUACGUUCCCGGGCCUUGUACACACCGCCCGUCAAGCCAUGAAAGCCGGGGGUACCUGAAGUACGUAACCGCAAGGAGCGUCCUAGGGUAAAACUGGUAAUUGGGGCUAAGUC